rnacentral:lncRNA from 1 species
GAAUUCAGCCUCUGAAUCCCUCCUGGGCCUGGGGUGGAGCAGGGUGAACACAUACGGAAGCGUAAACACAGUGGCCAACCUCAGCCUGCAGCUCAGCCCCGCAGUCUCCUGGGCAACGCGCCGUGUGGGACAUUGUCUCUCACUUGAAAAGCUGCUUACAGGCCCCCACCGCAUCCGCAUCGUGGGUUUAAAGUGGAUUAGUGGGAGGGCUGGUGGUUCGGGGCAGCCCCUUCACGUGGUGGCGAGCUUGGUAGUGACAACGGGCAGGCUGCUGUGCUCCAGGCAGGUGGCUGGAGCUGGGCGUGGAUGUCUCUCCGUGAGGACUGUCUGCCCUGCCUGCUGCUCUCAAGGCUCCUGGGUUUCCCACCACGCUCUCUUCACCUUCCUCUUCUACCGGGAGGAAGGUCCCAGGGCACGGGAGGGACCCUGUCUAGAGUGGAGCUGGGCUGCCCCAUCUCAGGUCACGGCUGCCCCAUCUCAGGUCAUGGGUCACGGCAGCCCCAUCUUGGGUCAUGGCAUCCCAAUCUCAGGUCAUGGCGUCCCUAUCUCAGGUUAUGGGUCACAGCUGCCCCAUCUCAGGUCACGGCUGCCCCAUCUCGGGUCACGGCGUCCCAAUCUCAGGUCAUGGGUCACGGCUGCCCCAUCUCAGGUCAUGGCAUCCCCAUCUCAGGUCAUGGGUCACGGCAGCCCCAUCUCGGGUCACAGCUGCCCCAUCUCGGGUCAUGGGUCACGGCAGCCCCAUCUCGGGUCACGGCUGCCCUAUCUCAGGUCAUGGGUCAUGGCUGCCCCAUCUCAGGUCAUGGGUCACGGCUGCCCUAUCUCAGGUCAUGGGUCACGGCUGCCCCAUCUCAGGUCACAGCAGCCCCCUUCAGGUGAAGGUCAAGGUGCAGCUCUUCUCCCAGCCUGAAGCAGAGCCUGUUGUCAGCAAGUACCCAGCAUCCGAUUGCUUCUCAUGGCCUCCACCCCGGCCAUGCUGGUCCAAGCCACUGCUGUCUCAGGCCUGGACUGGUACAGCUCCUGCUGUUGCCCUCUGUGGGGCAGCCUCACACGGCUCAGGGCACCCCUGCUGGUGCUCAGUCCUCAUGCACUCCCUCCCUUGA